CAGUAGCCGCGGGAAUACGGAGGGAGCUAGCGUUGUUCGGAAUUACUGGGCGUAAAGCGCGCGUAGGCGGUUACUCAAGUCAGAGGUGAAAGCCCGGGGCUCAACCCCGGAACUGCCUUUGAAACUAGGUGACUAGAAUCUUGGAGAGGUCAGUGGAAUUCCGAGUGUAGAGGUGAAAUUCGUAGAUAUUCGGAAGAACACCAGUGGCGAAGGCGACUGACUGGACAAGUAUUGACGCUGAGGUGCGAAAGCGUGGGGAGCAAACAGGAUUAGAUACCCCAGUAGUCCCUGUCUCUUAUAC
rnacentral:rRNA from 1 species